UUAGUGCUAGCCUGAGUUGAGCCCUAGCAGGAUUCAGUGCCGUUGCUCUCCUCCUCCAUCCUGGAACACUGUCUUCCUUUGGCUCUGUUGACAGAAGAACCUAAGCUCUGUAAAAUAAUCGAAAGAGGUUUCUUCUAAGCUGAAUGUGUGCCACGGUGGCCCCGGGGAAACACGCUUUCAAGGGGUCUUGAGAACACGCACCUGAGGCAGCUGGGUUUCAAUCAGUUUUUAUAUGUUCAUGGAGCCAGAAUUGCAGAAUGUGCAUCCUGAAGUUUCAUACCACUAAAGACGUGAACAAAAGGAGUUCGGAAUAAUAGCAGUUCAUUAUUUUGUGGCUACCAAAGAUACUCAGUGUUUGGGCACCUUCACGCAUGGGAUUCUGAUUCUUCAAGACUCACAGGAGACCUUUCUAGCCUGCUGCCAAGGAAUGAGUACUCCAAGAAGAAUUGUUCUUUUGAAAAUAUUUUUCGGUAGCCACCCAACCCACGCUGACUGCAGUCGCAGGGGAGAUGAUUAACAAACACUUCAGAAUGGAUGAAUAAAUGAAGAGGGAUGUUUUUCUUCAUCAAUUAUCCGCAAGAUGCACAGAGAAGAGACCAGUCGACGGUAAUGAAGAGGAUGGGAAAGACACGCUUCCUGUGAGUGGACCUUGCAAGAUGAUAACGGUGUGGUUUGCGUCACUAGAAUUGCAUUUUAAAGCAGUUUGCUGUGCACCGAUCUCUGUGUUAAGUACGUUACAGACAUUGUCACCUUUAUUUACACGACAACCAUAAAAAUAAACUAAAUGCCCUUAUCCCCAUUUUACAGAUGAACUUAAGUAAGUAUAGUCUUGUUAAAACUGAUGAUCUAUGAACAACAACAAAAAGAAACUGUGUUUUUACACACACACACACACACACACACACACACACACACACACUAGAAUAUUAUUCAGCCAUAAAAAGGAGAAAAUCCUGCCAUUUGCAAUAAGGAUCAACCUGGAGGAGAUUGUGCUAAAUGAAAUAAACCAGACAAAGAAUGACAAACACACUUUAUGAUCUCACAUAUCUGGAAUCUAAAAAAGUGGAACUCACAGAAACAGAGAGUAGAGUCGUAGUUAUUAGGAGCUUGGGGGUGGGAGAAGUGGGGAGGUGUUGGUCAAAGGGCAUGAACUUUUAGUUGUAAGAGGAACAGGUUCAGGGGAUCUAAGGUACAGUAUGGGUGGUGAUGGAUGUGUUAAUUAAUUUGAGAGUAAUAAUCAUGAUGUGUAUGUAUAUUAAAUAAUCACAUGGUAUGCCUUGAAUGUA